rnacentral:rRNA from 1 species
UACGGAGGGGGCUAGCGUUGUUCGGAAUUACUGGGCGUAAAGCGCACGUAGGCGGCUUUGCAAGUUAGAGGUGAAAGCCCGGAGCUCAACUCCGGAACUGCCUUUAAGACUGCAUCGCUAGAAUUGUGGAGAGGUGAGUGGAAUUCCGAGUGUAGAGGUGAAAUUCGUAGAUAUUCGGAAGAACACCAGUGGCGAAGGCGACUCACUGGACACAUAUUGACGCUGAGGUGCGAAAGCGUGGGGAGCAAACAGG